rnacentral:rRNA from 1 species
AGCGAACGUUAGCGGCGGGCCUAACACAUGCAAGUCGCGGGAGAAAAGGGCUUCGGCCCCGAGUAAACCGGCGCACGGGUGAGUAACACGUAGGGAAUCUGCCCUCCGGUGGGGGACAACCGGCCGAAAGGCUGGCUAAUACCGCAUUCGUCGGCCGGGACUGCGGUCCUCGUCGGGAAAGCCGGCCUCUCCCUGGAAGCUCGCGCCGGAGGAGGAGCCUGCGUCCCAUCAGCUAGUUGGUGAGGUAGCGGCUCACCAAGGCAAAGACGGGUAGCUGGUCUGAGAGGAUGAUCAGCCACACUGGGACUGAGACACGGCCCAGACUCCUACGGGAGGCAGCAGUGGGGAAUAUUGGACAAUGGGCGCAAGCCUGAUCCAGCCACGCCGCGUGAGUGAUGAAGGCCUUCGGGUCGUAAAGCUCUGUGGGGAGGGACGAAUGGCAGUCGACCUAACACGUCGGAGGUCUGACGGUACCUCCUUAGCAAGCACCGGCUAACCACGUGCCAGCCGCCGCGGUAACAC